CAGCAGCCGCGGGAAUACAGAGGGUGCAAGCGUUAAUCGGAAUUUCUGGGCGUAAAGCGCGCGUAGGUGGUUUGUUAAGUUGGAUGUGAAAGCCCCGGGCUCAACCUGGGAACUGCAUCCAAAACUGGCAAGCUAGAGUACGGUAGAGGGUGGUGGAAUUUCCUGUGUAGCGGUGAAAUGCGUAGAUAUAGGAAGGAACACCAGUGGCGAAGGCGACCACCUGGACUGAUACUGACACUGAGGUGCGAAAGCGUGGGGAGCAAACAGGAUUAGAUACCCGCGUAGUCCCUGUCUCUUAUAC
rnacentral:rRNA from 1 species